rnacentral:misc_RNA from 1 species
AUUGAGGUAAGCAAGGUGGUUGAGAUUAUAAGAAAACUGACUGAUGGUGGAAAUCUGAGUGAGGAAAAUAUCGGGGUCAUAACGCCGUAUCGACAACAAGUGCUCAAAAUAAGGAAAGCCCUUGAUAGCCUGGAUAUGCUUGAUAUAAAGGUUGGUAGUGUAGAACAAUUUCAAGGACAAGAGAGGCAAGUGAUGAUUGUUUCUACUGUUCG